GGGGCGUGGCAACCUCUAUUGCAGUUUUAUGCCAUGAACUGCCACACAAAGUUGGGGACUUCGCACUACUCUUUGAGAUGGGAAUGCACCUACAACAAGCGAUAAAGAUGAUGGCCCUCCUGUGGGUGCUGAGUUUGGCUGGCCUUCUCUUAGGGGUUAUGCUGGGUUCCAUCCCAACUGCGUCGCCUUGGAUCUAUUCUUUCACGGCUGGAGUAUUUAUCUACCUGGCGCUUGUGGAUCUGCUUUCAGAGUUAUCAU